AUCAGGGGUUGAACGGGGUGGAUUGGAACCACUCGGUUCGACAGGGUGGCGUAGCCACCCUGAGCGCCGCCAAAGGCGGCGACCCCGGAGGGUGAGGGCCGUAAGGCCCGAAUAAUCCACCCCCUCCACCAA
rnacentral:sRNA from 1 species